CCUACGGGCGGCUGCAGUGAGGAAUAUUGGUCAAUGGGCGCGAGCCUGAACCAGCCAAGUCGCGUGAGGGAAGACGGUCCUAUGGAUUGUAAACCUCUUUUGUCGGGGAGCAAAAGACGCCACGCGUGGCGUUCCGAGAGUACCCUACGAACAAGCAUCGGCUAACUCCGUGCCAGCAGCCGCGGUAAUACGGAGGAUGCGAGCGUUAUCCGGAUUUAUUGGGUUUAAAGGGUGCGCAGGCGGAAGAUCAAGUCAGCGGUAAAAUUGAGAGGCUCAACCUCUUCGAGCCGUUGAAACUGGUUGUCUUGAGUGAGCGAGAAGUAGGCGGAAUGCGUGGUGUAGCGGUGAAAUGCAUAGAUAUCACGCAGAACUCCGAUUGCGAAGGCAGCAUACCGGCGCUCAACUGACGCUCAUGCACGAAAGUGUGGGUAUCGAACAGGAUUAGAUACCCCUGUAGUC
rnacentral:rRNA from 1 species